GUAGGUGAACCUGCGGAAGGAUCAUUAACAGGUAUGGACGCACUUGCCUCGCGCAAGUGUGCCAUAUACAUCCCUGUGUUGUGUAUUCGAGUGAUGCUUGUGCUCACACAUUUGCGUGUGCGGGCACAGGCACCUUUUUUCAACCCAUUUUAUACAAUUCUGAUAUAUUUUGCGGAGCCCGCAAGGGCCCGCGACAACAACCGAAAACUGCCAGCAAUGGAUCACUCGGUUCUCGCAUCGAUGAAGAACG
rnacentral:misc_RNA from 1 species